UCUAUAAAACUACAUCAAACACUAAAGCCUUUUCCAUUUAGCAGGUAAAGCGUAAUUGCUUAAUAAAUUAUCUUAAUUUCACCUUGAGCCUAAAAUAUCUGUGUUUAGUAUGUUUUCCCUGCUGGUAAAAGGUGGGCUAGAAGUUGAAAAAUACUAAAAUCAGGCAAAACUAGGGUCGUGGUUUAAAAGCUAUUUUACAUUCUACCCCAGUCCAUGUUGUACAUCGGAGAGACUAUUCCAGCUAAUAUCUCAUCCGUGUUUAAAAUGUUUAGCCUCUAUAAUUUUAUAAAAACUUUUGUCAGAUCUAUACACUCAUUUUAAAAUGCUUUUUAAUUUCAAAACUUUAUAUCAGAACUUAUUUGAGGACGAAAUUAGGUGGUGGCAAGCUGUAAAAAUCUCCAAAUACCCAAAGUAUUUUUAAAACUACGGGUGGUUACCAUUAGUGAUUUUCUUAAAAGGAUAGGCCUAAAGGAAAGAACCUAUACAAAGUGAUUGUGUUUUUUUUUCUCUCCGUAAAUGCAGCUUUAACCUAAAGUUCAGAGAAUAAGUUUGCUAAUAAAAGCAAUGACCUAGCAAAAUGUUUUAUUCCAUCAUUGCUAUGGAAACCAAAGUAUUCAACAGUUCCUUUGAAUGGGCUGCUGGAUUAGUGUGAGGACUUGAAUCUCCCCAGGCUAGAUGUUACUAUGGAAAUUGAGUUUUGAUAAAUGAAGUAGUUAUCUCUAACUGCUGCAUUAAAAAGUAAAAGCCUUUGAACAAAGGUGAGAAGCCGUACAAAUGCACCUGGGAAGGCUGCGACUGGAGGUUCGCGCGCUCGGACGAGCUGACCCGCCACUACCGCAAGCACACGGGGGCCAAGCCCUUCCAGUGCGGCGUGUGCAACCGCAGCUUCUCCCGCUCCGACCACCUGGCGCUGCACAUGAAGAGGCACCAGAACUGAGCUGCCCGCACCGCCGCCGCCCGCCCCACGCAGCCCACUCGGCAGAAGUUUAAACUACACGAUUGAUUCUAUAUAUAUAUAAAAGAGAACGAAAACACAAAACUGGAAAUGUAUAUUUUGUAUAUUUGAGAAAACAGGGAAUACAUUGUGUUAAUACCAAAGUGUUUGGUCCUUGUCCGAAUCUGGAAUGCUUGCUAUAUGCUGGCUUGACCCAGGCGGAUGCCAUCAUCUCAGACAGGCAGCCCCAUCUCAGUGCGGGCUGGGCAUGCAAGGGUGUGUUUGAAGUGUUCUUUCCCAAAGCACCACCAUUUAAUGUGACAGUGUUUAGCAAACAAGUCCGUUGGGCACAAGAAGACAGCUGGAUUGUGUGUCAAGAUUUUGCUUGACAUCAGAGGAGUUUUUUUUCAAUACAAGAUAAUUCUUUAGAGGUACGCAGCAUACCUGGCAAUUCACAAAUAGCCAUUGAACAAAUGUGUUGUUUUGUUUUUUUUUUAUAUGAGUUGCCUAUAUUUGCUAUUCAAAAUUUUGUAAAUAUGCAAAUCAGCUUUAUAGUUUAUUACACGUUUUCUAAGAUUCUUUUGGGGAAAAAAAUCAUAAAUAAUUCUUUUGAAAAUAACCGUGAAUACAUUUACAGUUAGAACUUGUGGUAAGAUACCUCUUAAAACCUUACCAAAUUCAUUUCUGUGGUAGGUAGAAAUAAAUCACUCAAAUGAACUUCAAAAGCAGAUUUCAUGCACUGAUUAAAAUCGGAUUGUUUAUUUUAAAUACAAGCUACAUUUUAUAUGAAUUGUGAACUCAAGAGCUUAAAGAUAGAAUAUUCAAAAGUUAAAACAUCUUAAAAUAAGCUAAACAGUAUCAUUUUUGAAAAGAAGGACAUAUGUAGUUUUCACUUGGGAAUGUUGAAUUUAUGAUACAGUUUUCAUAUACGGAAACGUUGAAUUAAUGAUGCAGUUUUCAUAUACUGAGAUGUUUGCUUGUGCAGUACAAUUGGUUAAAUGCCAAUUUAUGUGGACUUUGCAUGUAAUAUACAGUGAGACACAGUAAUUUUACCUAAAUUACAGUGCAGUUUAGUUAAUCUAUUGUUAACACUGACUCAGUGUCUGCCUUUAAUUAUAAAUGACAUGUUGAAAACUUAAGGAAGUAAGUGCUACAUAUAUGCAAUAUAAAAUAGUAAUGUGACACUGAUGCUGUUAACCAAAGGGCAGAAUAAAUAAGCAAAAUGCCAAAAGGGGUCUUAAUUGAAAUGAAAAUUUAAUUUUGUUUUUAAAAUAUUGUUUAUCUUUAUUUAUUUUGUGGUAAUAUAGUAAAUUUUUUUAGAAAAUUUUCAUAACGAUAAAUUAUAGUUUUGUUUGUUAGAAAAGUUUCUCUUAAAAACGUGUACAUAGAUGACAAAUGGUGUAAAUAUUUUGUAAGAGGCUUCAAAAUGUUUAUACGUGGAAACAUACUUACAGGAAAAGCAUAAAUUGGUUGCUGUUUUGCUUCUUUUUCCCUCUUAUUUUUGUAUUGUGGUCAUUUCCUAUGCAAAUAAUGGAGCAAACAGCUGUAUAGUUGUAGAAUUUUUUGAGAGAAUGAAAUGUUUAUAUAUAUAAACGACAAUUUUUUUUUGAAAAUAAAAAGUGCCUAAAAGAUU